GGCGGUAUUUUAGUCUAUUCAGAGGAAUCUGUCCUAUAAUUGAUAAUCCACGAUUUAAUUUACUUUUAGAAAAAAUUUAUAUAUCGUCGUAGUUUGAAUAUUUUAAAAGAAUUUUAAUGUUCAAAAUUUUUUUAUAAAAUUAAAUCAGAUCAAGGUGUAGUUUAUAUAAAAGAAGAGAUGGAUUACAUUAAAUUUAUUUAAAGAUUAAUUUUUGUAAAAUUUUAUGAAUAUGGAUUUGAUAGUAAUUUUUUUAAAAUUUUAAAAAUGAUUUAAGCUCUAAAAUAUGU
rnacentral:rRNA from 2 species